GAAUCGUCAUCCAGGGACCUGCCAGAAACCACAAGAAAACAUGGGGAGGGUUUUCCUCACGGGAGAAAAAGCCAAUUCCGUAUUAAAACGCUACCCAAGAGCUAAUGGGUUUUUUGAAGAAAUAAGACAGGGCAACAUUGAGCGUGAGUGCAAAGAAGAAUUCUGUACAUUUGAAGAAGCAAGAGAAGCUUUUGAAAAUAAUGAAAAAACUGGUCUUGUUCUGUUGCCAAGGCUGGAGUGCAGCUGUGAACAUGGCUCAUUGCAGCCUCAACUUUCUGUGCUCAAGUGAUCCUCCCAUCUCAGCCUCCCAAGUAGCUGGGGACCACAGGUGCAUGCCACCAUGGCUGGCUAAUUAAAAAAAAAAAAAAUUCUGCAUGCAGACAAGGUCCCAUCAUGUUGCCUAGGCUGGUCUCAAACUCCUGGACUCAAGUGAUCCUCCUACCUUGGCCUGCCAAAGUGCUGGAAUUUAUAGGUGUGAGAUACCAUGCCUGGCCAUCUAUUUUAAAAUAUUUAAACUCAAGGCAAACUCUAGACAAAACAGAACUAAAUCUAGAAGGAGCUAUAAUACGGGAAACAGAAGAGAAUGUUACCAAAAAUAUCAAAUUGAUAUUAUCAGAAUUUAAGAAAACAAUAGGUUUAUAAAAUGAGAAGAAGCUAUUACAGAGGGGACCAAUUAAGGGAUAAUAGAAAGUCCUUGGACAUUAGAAAUGUUACUGCAAAGCUAAAAACUGGACACAGGUUAGACAGUGCAGAGUUCACUGGGUUGCACACGGAACGUAGUGCUCAUUCUCCUCCCUGCCCACUUCCACUGAAAAGGAAUGCACCCCUCCCCUGAUAAUGGACCCAAAUACCCACUUCCGGCCGUUUCUGCCAUUAGCCAUCCGCCUUCAGCCAACCACUACCACCACAGCUCCCGCCUGCCUGCUCAUCGCUCCCCAAGGUGCCCGCCAUGGCCACCACCCCAGUGUUGCAGGUGCAUCAGAACUACCACCCCAACUGCAAGGCCACUGUCAACAACCACGUCAACCUGGGAUUCCAUGCCUCCAACGUGUACCUGUCCAUGGCCUUCUUCUACUUCGACCGGGAUGACGCGGCCCUGGAGCACUUUGGCCGCUACUUCCUGCACCAGUUGCACAAGAAGAGGGAGCACGCCCAGGAGCUGAUGAGGCUGCAGAACCAGCACGCUGGCUGCAUCUGCUUUCACUACAUCAGGAAGUCAGAGCGUCAAGACGGAGAGCAGGCUCGAGGCCAUGGAGUGCGCCUUCCACCUGGAGAAGAGUGUCAACCAGAGCCUCCUGGAGCUGCACCAGCUGACCAUGGAGAAAGGUGACCCCCAGCUGUGUGACUUCCUGGAGAGCCACUUCCUGAACCAGCAGGUCAAGGCCAUCAGAGAGCUGGGUGAUUACCUGAGCAACCUGUGUAAGACGUGGGCCCCAGAAGCAGGCCUGGCAGAGUACCUGUUUGACAAGUUCACUCUGGGCGGCAGCGAGGAAGACACCUGAGCCAAGAUGGGCCCCACAGCCACAGUGUGCUUUCCCUGGGUCAGGCCGCCAGGCGGGGUGUGCAUGUUGCCCUUUUAGAACGUUCUCUUCAGUUUUUCUCCUUUCAGUGUUACCAUUAUUGGCAAUAAAAUUAUCUGUUCUCAAAGCAA